AGAGUUUGAUUAUGGCUCAGGANNAACGCUGGCGGCACGCUUAAAACAUGCAAGUCGAACGUGAAGCCCGGGCUUGCUCGGGUGGAAAGUGGCGAACGGGUGAGUAACACGUGGGGAACCUGCCUCGAAGACCGGGAUAACUCCGGGAAACCGGUGCUAAUACCGGAUGCCCUCGCCGGGUCGCAUGGCCUGGUGAGGAAAUGGAUUCCGCUUCGAGAUGGCCCCGCGGCCUAUCAGCUUGUUGGUGGGGUAACGGCCUACCAAGGCUUCGACGGGUAGCUGGUCUGAGAGGAUGUCCAGCCACACUGGGACUGAGACACGGCCCAGACUCCUACGGGAGGCAGCAGUUAGGAAUCUUGCGCAAUGGGCGAAAGCCUGACGCAGCGAUGCCGCGUGCGGGAUGAAGGCCUUAGGGUCGUAAACCGCUUUCAGCAGGGACGAAAUUGACGGUACCUGCAGAAGAAGCCCCGGCCAACUACGUGCCAGCAGCCGCGGUGAUACGUAGGGGGCGAGCGUUGUCCGGAUUUAUUGGGCGUAAAGAGCUCGUAGGCGGUUCGGCAAGUCGGAUGUGAAAUCUCCACGCUCAACGUGGAGGGGUCAUUCGAUACUGCCGUGACUCGAGUCCGGUAGGGGAGUAUGGAAUUCCCGGUGGAGCGGUGAAAUGCGCAGAGAUCGGGAGGAACACCCGUAGCGAAGGCGGUACUCUGGGCCGGAACUGACGCUGANGAGC
rnacentral:rRNA from 1 species